rnacentral:rRNA from 1 species
UGGCAAGCGUUAUCCGGAAUUACUGGGUGUAAAGGGAGUGUAGGCGGGUAUGCAAGUCAGAUGUGAAAACUUGGGGAUCAACCACAAGACUGCAUUUGAAACUGUAUAUCUUGAGUGCGGGAGAGGUAAAUGGAAUUCCUAGUGUAGCGGUGAAAUGCGUAGAUAUUAGGAGGAACACCAGUGGCGAAGGCGAUUUACUGGACCGUAACUGACGCUGAGGCUCGAAAGCGUGGGGAGCAAACA